GGUACAUCCACUGAAAUAGUCUACCUGAGCUAAUGGGAGCUCACCAACUCAUGCUGGACUGGUUGCCUUUGGUCAGAGCGUUUUAUCACGGAAAAGAUGAACCGAGCGCUGGUUGGUAAGUGUCUACGCUGGCUGCUUCCAGGACAGCAACCUCCCGGAAGAAUCCAAGACAGAUGUGGGUGGAACUUGCAGCUUCUUCUCCAGCAUCAGGUCUUCUUGCGCGCCACCAUGCUCCCUGCCGUGAUGACAAACCUCGGAAACUGUAUCAGGAGGCCCCUAGAACUCACCGUCUCCAGAAGCCCCUUCCCUGUGCCACGCAUACAAAUGCUCAAAUCUAGUUACACGUCUUACCUGG